CCCUAGGAGCCCGCACCCUGUCUCGGGUUCCAGGGGGUGGUCGGGGCUCCCAAGAGGACGGGGUGAGGAAGCCAAAGGAGGCGCGGCUGGAAAAAUGGGGGGUUAGAUUGGCGGAACGGGCGAUCGUCAGGCGUGAAGGCACAGCGGGAAGGUACUGGGCUGAAUUCUUUGGUGCCGCGCAGGUCCCUCCAGUCCCCAACUCACCCGGGGUGGAACAGGCACGAGCCGAAACCCCAAGGAGAGUGUCCGGGAUCCGCGCUUGAGCCUCCUUGGGAGUGGGGAAAAGAGGGGUGGACAAAGCGCUGCCCGCGGCCAGACGAGCUCUGGGUGCAGCCGGCUGGCCUCCGAGCCUGGGGACCUGCAGCCCCCGCGGCGGCCGGGUCAGGGCUCAGCCCUAGAGGGUCUCUGGUGAGGCCGGGGCGCAGCUCGCGGGGCGCCGGCGAGGCGGUCCAGUAUCGCGCAGUCCUGCCGCCGGCCCUAGACUGGGAGGCGGCUGCGCUCCUAGGUUUGCGCUCCUGUUUGCAAGGGGGCCUCAAAUGACAAACGCUAGCAAUAACGUACACCCGUAGAACUCGAAUUCCAGAAACUGGAAUUCUUGUUCUCAAGUUUACAAACCUUUAGUUUAUUUUUUAAAGGAACUGAGGCAUUUUGUUGGACCAAAGCCGAAAAGAUUUUGCCACAUAGACCAUGGAAACAGCCUAAGGCUCUUUCAGCAGAAUUGUGUAGCCCGAAUGCAAUUUUAGAUUUCAAAUUUCUCAAGGGAAGAGAAACUCUCCGUUAGAACUAAGGAGGGAGGGUGGCGCAUGCUUGUGUGUUUCUCAGCUAAACAGAGCUGUGUUUAUCUUUCCAAUUCAAGUUUUACCCGAUUUUAGCUUUAGGAAUAAAUUGUGGGAAUAUUUGGGAACAUGAAAUCUUGCCAUUGUUCCAGGAUCAUUAUAAUUGAUAAUUUAUCAUUGCUAGAGAAAAGAAUUACAUGUAUUUUAUUUAUUUGUGUGAUUGGCACCUUUUGUGAGAAAAGUGAUGUACAUUUUCAUAAGGCAGGAAAUUAUUCUAAGAAACCUUGUUUAAAUAUAUGUAUCAGUCUCUCAGUAUCCUUUGAGUUCCCUGUAGUUCCUCCUAUUAUUCUUUUUAAGAACUAUUUACUUUCCUAAAAUACUUAAAUCCUAUUCAGAAGAUUUCAUUUGUCUAGGUGUCAGAUAUACACCAAUUUAUAAGAAAAUUCCAAUAAAUCUUUACAGACACAUUGCUUUAUUAGAGUUGCCACAAUUUAAUGAAGGACUUUUCUUUUUUUCACUUUUUACUCAGAGAAUUGAAGCUCAUUGUCUCAGCCUGGAAAUUUGAUGGUGGGAGAUACGAUUACAUACAAAAUAAAAGCACAAAAUAUAGUAAUUAGGUUUACUUAUUGUGUUUUUCAGGAAAAAGGAAGUGAAGGGGUAAUAGAAAAAAAGGCAACAACAACUGACCUACCACAAAGUUAGGAGAAAAGGAUUGAUUCAAGAAAGACUAUAAUAUGGAUUUAGAGCUCAAGGAGUAUUAUAACAAGACACUUUCUGCAGAGAAUGAUACUACUGCCACUCGGAAUUCUGAUUUUCCAGUCUGGGAUGACUAUAAAAGCAGUGUAGAUGACUUACAAUAUUUUCUGAUUGGACUCUAUACAUUUGUAAGUCUUCUUGGUUUUAUGGGGAAUCUACUUAUUUUAAUGGCUCUCAUGAAAAAGCGUAAUCAGAAGACUACAGUAAACUUCCUCAUAGGAAAUCUGGCCUUUUCUGAUAUCUUGGUUGUGCUAUUUUGCUCACCUUUCACACUGACCUCUGUCUUGCUGGAUCAGUGGAUGUUUGGCAAAGUCAUGUGCCAUAUUAUGCCUUUCCUUCAAUGCGUGUCGGUUUUGGUUUCAACUUUAAUUUUAAUAUCAAUUGCCAUUGUCAGGUAUCAUAUGAUAAAACAUCCUAUGUCUAAUAAUUUAACAGCAAACCAUGGCUACUUUCUGAUAGCUACGGUCUGGACACUAGGUUUUGCAAUUUGUUCUCCCCUUCCUGUGUUUCACAGUCUUGUGGAACUUCAGGAAACAUUUGGUUCAGCAUUGCUGAGCAGCAGGUAUUUAUGUGUUGAAUCGUGGCCAUCUGAUUCAUACAGAAUUGCCUUUACUAUCUCUUUAUUGCUAGUUCAGUAUAUUUUGCCCUUAGUUUGUCUAACUGUAAGUCAUACCAGUGUCUGCAGGAGUGUAAGCUGCGGAUUGUCCAACAAAGAAAACAGACUGGAAGAAAAUGAGAUGAUCAACUUAAGUCUCCAUCCAUCCAAAAAAAGUGGACCUCAGGUGAAACUCUCCAACAGCCAUAAAUGGAGUUAUUCAUUAAUCAGAAAGCACAGAAGAAGAUACAGCAAGAAGACGGCAUGUGUAUUACCUGCUCCAGCAAGACCUGCUCAAGAAAACCAUUCUAGAACACUUCCAGAAAACUUUGGCUCUGGGAGGAGUCAACUCUCUUCAUCCAGUAAGUUCAUACCAGGGGUCCCCAUUUGCUUUGAGAUGAAACCUGAAGAAAACUCAGAUGCUCAUGAAAUGAGAGUAAAACGUUCUGUCACAAGAAUAAAAAAGAGAUCUCGAAGUGUUUUCUACAGACUGACCAUGUUGAUACUAGUGUUUGCUGUUAGUUGGAUGCCACUACACCUUUUCCAUGUGGUAACUGACUUUAAUGAUAACCUUAUUUCAAACAGACAUUUCAAGUUGGUGUACUGCAUUUGUCAUUUGUUAGGCAUGAUGUCCUGUUGUCUUAAUCCAAUUCUAUAUGGAUUUCUUAAUAACGGAAUUAAAGCUGACUUAAUGUCCCUUAUACACUGUAUUCAUAUGUCAUAGUUCUCACUGUUUACCAAGAAAAGAAAAAAUGUUUCAGUCAUCUAAGAUAUAUUCGUGAUAACUAUGUCUGUAUAAUAAAUAGAAAUUUUGUUAAUAUAUGGAAUUUAAUUUAUGUGAAAGAGUUCAGGAUUUUAAUGUCAGUUCAUAAUAUAUGGAAGAUAAUUUUAAUAAUAUAAUUAAUUUAUUUAGUUGUAUAGAGUCAGUGUCAAUCCAAUCUGUAACUUUAUUUUUAAAGGUAGUAUUAUCUUCUAUUUCAUGUUGUCCUGUAAAAAAUGAAUUGUAUUUUUUGCUUAAAAUAAAAGUAAUAUUUAACCAA